rnacentral:rRNA from 1 species
UACAGAGGGGGCAAGCGUUGUUCGGAAUUACUGGGCGUAAAGGGCGCGUAGGCGGCCCGCUAAGUCGAACGUGAAAUCCCCAGGCUCAACCUGGGAACUGCGUCCGAUACUGGCAGGCUUGAAUCCGGGAGAGGGAUGUGGAAUUCCAGGUGUAGCGGUGAAAUGCGUAGAUAUCAGGAGGAACACCGGUGGCGAAGGCGGGUCUCUGGGUAGUAACUGACGCUGAGGAGCGAAAGCGUGGGUAGCGAACAGG